AGGAUUCCCUCAGUAAUGGCGAAUGAACAGGGAACAGCUCAGCAUGGAAAUCGGGGCCACCCGGCCUUGAAUUGUAGUCUGGAGAUGUACUGCCAACAGAGGCGCAGAUGUAAGCCUCUUGGAAAAGAGCAUCAACGAGGGUGAGAGUCCCGUUUGUCAUCUGCAGUCCCCUGUGCACGGUGUGCAUUCUAAGAGUCGCGUUCCUCGGGAUUGGAGCGUAAAGCGGGUGGUAAAUUUCAUCUAAAGCUAAAUAUUGGUUCGAGACCGAUAGCAAACAAGUACCAUGAGGGAAAGGUGAAAAGGACUUUGAAAAGAGAGUUAAAAGUGCCUGAAAUUGCUGAAAGGGAAGCGAAUGGAACCAGUGUUCUUGGCGAGAUUGUCGCGCGCUCUGGUGAUUGCUGGCUGUCCUAGCGCAAGCGGGGCAGUUAGUUUUGAUCUAGCGGCGCGCGGUGUUUCUUACCUUGUGUGUCACCGUCGGCUCAUAAGCGAGGAAAACUCCAGGACCAUGGUAGUUCGGCUACGGUUGAGCGAAUGGGCUUGGUAGUACUCAUUUGUGAGUCGAUUCCAGCGUGUCUGGUUGCAGUGUUCGCUUCGUCUUUGGAUUGUUGG
rnacentral:rRNA from 1 species